GGAGGCGUGGCCGAGUGGUUGAAGGCGGCAGUCUUGAAAACUGUUGUACCGCAAGGUACCGUGGGUUCAAAUCCUACCGCCUCCG
rnacentral:tRNA from 1 species